UAGAGACGGGGUGACGCCAUAUUGGCCAGGCUAGUUUCUAACUCCUGGCCUCAAGUGAUACACCCACCUUGGCCUCUCAAAGCGCUGGAAUUAUAGGUGUGAGCCACUAUGCCUGUGUAAUGUCAGUAAUUUUUUAAGUAGAAUUGUUGAAAAUGAAACAAAAUUUUUAAAGAAACUCGUAUGAUUGAACUGAUCACCCCCCUGUAAGUUGCCAAUGAACUUAAUAUGUGUGUCUGGAUUCAAUAUAAUUACAUGGCUGUUUCAAUUUCUCAUACUUUGGAAGUAGGAAGGUACCUUUUUAGAUGUUCUUUUCUACCUUUCCCCAAAAUUGUCGCAGGACAUUUAACCCCAAGUGUUGCACAGUAAGUGAAGUCUGUUUCUUUGUCUUAUUUUACCCAGCAAAACAGCAGUUUCUUGUUUCCAGGUUCACCUCUGGAGUGGGACGUGACCAGGGAGGCUGGGGUCUAGCCUAGCCUGAGUCAUGGUAACCUUCUGGAGUCUCAGCAUCUUCCUUUAAAGUGCUGGUACAUCUCUGAGUUUCCUCAUAGCACUAACUUUUGCUAUAGUAACUAAGCGUGUGAGGCCAGUGAGUAAGUGCGGGGCUGGAAAUAGAGCUGUACUUGACAAAACUGUGGAGUUCAACAUUCUCACCCUGGCCCAUGUCCUGGUGUCUCCUUUCCAAGGUUGUUUCUGCAUCCAGGAGACCCACUAACUACACCUGUAGGUACCAUAGGCUGAUUCUCUGGUAUGCUCUUCUUUUUCAUCUCUCUCCUCUAGCAAAACCAGUUCUCCAGAGAGUAUUGGAUAGGAGUCAUUUACAAUGUAGUGUAUAUUCCUCAAUAGGUUCGCUUUCCCCAUGGCAAGGACACUUAAAAUCUCAUCUCUUAUCUGCAGGACUUCCUUUUUCUGAGAGCAGUGUCAAACAUCUAGGAGCAGGUGGAGAGGCAUCUUUCAGGAGCAGGAGAUUUUUCCUAUGUAUCACAUCUGGAAGGCAGAUACACACAGAGGCACAUUGGAAACACAGUAGAAAACGGCUGCCAAUUUAA
rnacentral:lncRNA from 1 species